rnacentral:rRNA from 1 species
GUGAACCUGCGGAAGGAUCAUUACCGAGUGCGGGUCCUUUGGGCCCAACCUCCCAUCCGUGUCUAUUGUACCCUGUUGCUUCGGCGGGCCCGCCGCUUGUCGGCCGCCGGGGGGGCGCCUCUGCCCCCCGGGCCCGUGCCCGCCGGAGACCCCAACACGAACACUGUCUGAAAGCGUGCAGUCUGAGUUGAUUGAAUGCAAUCAGUUAAAACUUUCAACAAUGGAUCUCUUGGUUCCGGCAUCGAUGAAGAACGCAGCGAAAUGCGAUAACUAAUGUGAAUUGCAGAAUUCAGUGAAUCAUCGAGUCUUUGAACGCACAUUGCGCCCCCUGGUAUUCCGGGGGGCAUGCCUGUCCGAGCGUCAUUGCUGCCCUCAAGCCCGGCUUGUGUGUUGGGUCGCCGUCCCCCCGGAGAGGGGGACGGGCCCGAAAGGCAGCGGCGGCACCGCGUCCGAUCCUCGAGCGUAUGGGGCUUUGUCACAUGCUCUGUAGGAUUGGCCGGCGCCUGCCGACGUUUUCCAACCAUUCUUUCCAGGUUGACCUCGGAUCAGGUAGGGAUACCCGCUGAA